rnacentral:rRNA from 1 species
GAUGAACGCUGGCGGCGUGCUUAACACAUGCAAGUCGAACGGGAAACCUUUUAUUGAAGCUUCGGCAGUUUUAGCUGGUUUCUAGUGGCGGACGGGUGAGUAACGCGUGGGUAACCUGCCCUAUACAGGGGGAUAACAACCAGAAAUGGUUGCUAAUACCGCAUAAGCGCACAGGGCCGCAUGGUCCGGUGUGAAAAACUCCGGUGGUAUAGGAUGGACCCGCGUUGGAUUAGCCAGUUGGCAGGGUAACGGCCUACCAAAGCGACGAUCCAUAGCCGGCCUGAGAGGGUGAACGGCCACAUUGGGACUGAGACACGGCCCAGACUCCUACGGGAGGCAGCAGUGGGGAAUAUUGCACAAUGGGGGAAACCCUGAUGCAGCGACGCCGCGUGAAGGAAGAAGUAUCUCGGUAUGUAAACUUCUAUCAGCAGGGAAGAUAGUGACGGUACCUGACUAAGAAGCCCCGGCUAACUACGUG